CUGAAAAAAAUGGACUUGGUGGGUCUUUGAAUUUAAAUAAAAUAAACAUGUAUAUGCAACACAAAAUAUUUAUAUUCCUUGUGUAAACAUAAUUUAAUUGAUUAGGAUGAAAAUGUUUUGUUUGAAUGUAAAAUGAACACAUUAUUCUCACAUUGAUUAAAAUUGAUUGAAUUGAAUACUUAAAGCAAUAAAAUUGAGUUUGCACACAAAAUGGCACCUCCUGAGCAGAAGGUGGCAGUAACGCUCAAUAAAAAGGACGUCAAUCGCCAUAAAAGAAGAAUAAACAUCGUUUGUUUUGGGCGCCAAAAUGAAGACUCAGCAGCAGUCAGUCAGAAGAACUCUCUCAGACGGACACCACGUUAUUAAAGUAAGUUCUAUUAUUUAUUUAUGUUCACUUUAUACGUGAUACAUCUUCACUAGAUAGACAGUUUUUUUUACAAUAUGUAGCCAUUGCAAUGACUUGUAGUAAAAAUGAGUUUGGAGGAUGUUGGUGGAGUAAGUGAACGUUACAGUCAGUCAGUCAGUCAGUAAGUGUAAGGCUCAUAAAGAAAAACAGCGUUUUAAAAAUGUCAGCUGUAUAACGUUAUUUCACGUUUGGUAGUUUUAUCCGAGUUGAAAACUGACAGAUUUGAGUUGACUUUUGAGGCACUUUUUACUCAGUUGUUCUAUGGAAACGGUUCAGGACAAAUAAAACGCUAACGGUUAACCAAACGUUAUUCUGUCCAGAGUAACGUUAUCCAUGUAAGUAAUUUACCAGAUGAUAUCAAUUGACUACAUUAAUAAUGACAUUGCGUAUGAAACAAACUGUCUGCUUAAUCAGAUGAACAGACCCGCGUCAGUUAUUCGUGACUUCACUAACGUACGCCACGAGCAACACUUGAUUCUAUUAGAAAAAGCUUUUUUAAAUGUCUCGCGUGACUUCUGGUAUAUUAACUGAAAAAAAAUGCUUUAUAGUGCCACGCCUUAAAGCUGACGUUUUCAGAAGAGAACCUUGUUGUUUUAAGGUCUCAUUUUGUCAAAAUUUUGUAUGACUGAUAUAACGUUAAUACUUAUUUCAUUAUUGCUCUGUGUAUGUGUGACCUUCAUCAUUUGAGUUUAUGUGUUGAUUUCACCUCUGAAUUUUUCCUCUUAUAGGUCCAUCAUCCUUGCACACACUCAAAAGCAUUGAUAAAUGCUGAAUUUAAAAGAAUCACUACUGUCUUAUGUUCCUGUGUCACCUGGACCUCCAAUCCAAAAACCUGACGAAACUCUUCUAUCAGAAAGGAGGACAGCUAGCAAAAAGACUUAGAACAAUCAAUGAUCAAAUGACAGAAGGCAUGGAUGAAGUCAGCAUCAGCGAGGUCAUUUGAAGACACCACUGUUGGGAUUUGUGCUCUCAAACAACAUCCUUCUUGUGAUGAAGAAGAGGAUCUUUGUAUAGUCCUGGAAGGCAUGAAGGUGUUGCAACAUCGUGCCAUGUUUUUUGAGCUGAUGUAUGCCUUAAACCUGAGCUAUCCUGAUCUCCGCUUUAUUUUUGAGGAAAUCCAAAAGAUUUUAAUGGAACUGCAUUGACCGUAACUUUAACGAACAGUUUCUUUCAGUGAAAGGAUCAGAAAGACUGUGCUGCUCAUUUUUGUUAUCUGUUUUAAGUGUUUUCUCUUAUUUAAACAUUAACAGUUUGCUGCUCAGAGUUGAUUUUGGAAAUGGUUGUUGUAUUUUGUUUUUGUUGAAUCUUUGAUUAACAGUUUAUACAACUGCUGUAGCUCUGACUUUCUGAAGGAUUGAUAUUUUCCAGUUUGUAAAUCAAUUUUAAAAAUAAUAGUACUUACUGUUUUGCAUGUCUCUUUGGAAUGCAGUGUUUGUGCUUUAGCACUUCUAAAUCUACUGUGAUAGUAACUAUUUUAAACAUUUGGGUCAGUUUUACAGAUGGGGCUUUUCCUAGUCCCAGACUUUUGCAAUGCCUUAAUUUGAAAACAUAUUGCACUGACAUAUCGUGACAUAUAUGAGUGCCAUUGUUUUGUCUCAAGAUGUACUCCAGUGUUGUUUUUGUAAGGUAGGUUUGUUUGUAAACUUUUUUUGUAAAAAAUAUCCUAAUAUAACUAGGGCCUAGUCAUGGAUUAAUCUACAACCUGUCUGGGAAAUUGCCCCUUUGUAUGAACUGCAUGUGCUGAUUGUUGUAAUAGUUAUUGACUGUUAAUGAAUUAAUGUGUAAUGAUGUCAUUGAAUUGAUGAUCUGAGAGCAGUGGUUUGCCUCAAUAUCACUAAACAUUUGUUCAAAACUCUUUGCUUUUUAUGCCAAUGCAAAUGUAUUUUGUAUUUAAAAAAGAAAUAAAUAACAUUUGGAUAAUUAUGGGUGAUUAUUCUGGUGCCAGAGACAUAAUGAAAUUGUUUUAGAGUUAAAUAAUCCCAUAAUAUAAGCAUUAAAAAAGCAUGUUGGAAUUACAGAUGAAAAUCUAGUCCCCUUACAUAAUAAAAUUACUUAAACAUUACAAAAUAAAUGUGUUAUAGGAAAGAGAAAUAGCACUUUGAGUCAACAUAUUUAUAUUAGACUACCUAAAACAAUUAAAAUGUUUUGGUCUGACACACAAAAAUUAAAUGAGGAAAAUUAUGUUGGUUUUACACAAUCGGAUUAUGUGGGACCGAUGUACACAUUAAAAUUACGUAAA